GUUCAUAUCGUUUUGCUCUCAUUUGUCACUGUUAAGUUAACAGCUACUAAAAUUAUUUAUUUUAUUGAAGCGGGAUUGGCUUCUUUUCGCGAUAAAUAUUGACGUGAUAUGUACCUAUCGCUGUUAUGAUGUAUUCAAGACUGUGUAUCGAUGUGUAUAAAUAUCGAAGCCUUUUCCAAUCGAUGUUUCAGUGUAGGAUAGAGUUCGGAAAAACUUACCAAAACAAAAAUACUGUAUAUAACGGAUAUUAAAAUGGUUGUUAACUAUGUA